rnacentral:lncRNA from 1 species
AGGCCCUGCCGCCUCCGUUCCAUGGGUAAAGGCCGCAGACGGGAGGAGAGGCCUGUCGUGGGAAAUGCGGCUCUGUGGCGACGCGCACGGUGAUAGGAAGAAUCUUGGGUUUCAGGGGGACGCCCCGCUAACCCCUCAAAUCUGGACGGCGCGGCGGUGUUUACGAGGCACUUUCACUCGUUGCGCACAUGUUUACUGAGUGCAGACCCGUGCCAGGCCCCGUGCUGGGCAGGGGAAAGGAGGAUGGAGAUGCGACCAGGCUGCCUAGUGGGGAGACGGAUGAGGAAAAGGGCCAUGACGAUGUUCCUCUCACUCCUUACUUUUCCUGGUCCGUGCUCAUCACUGUUAGGCAUUCUUCUGAACUCAUUGAGCCCUCGGAACGCUACAAGGACUGCACCUAAGAGAGCGUGACACUUCACAGGCUAACUCUGGACCCUUUGGAGUAUUCCUGGCCGGCUUGGUGGCCUUGCAGGGAUUGGCAAGCCCACGUUAAAGAGAAGAAAGUCAUGGCUCUGGAGGGCAAUGUGACACAUUUUUUUUUGUUUGUUUUGCCUGUAGGCAAUAAAAAUUAAAGCAUCAUUUUGCCUCCCUGCCUUGUAUUGAGGAGAAACUGAGGCCAGAGAGAAGAAGGCACCUGGCCAACAUCACGCAAUGAAUCUGAGGCAGACCCAGGACUGACACCCGGACCUGCUGA